CAUGCCGUAAACGAUGAGUGCUAAGUGUUAGGGGGUUUCCGCCCCUUAGUGCUGCAGCUAACGCAUUAAGCACUCCGCCUGGGGAGUACGACCGCAAGGUUGAAACUCAAAGGAAUUGACGGGGGCCCGCACAAGCGGAGGAACAUGUGGUUUAAUUCGAUGAUACGCGAGGAACCUUACCCGGGCUCAAACGGAAGAGGAGCGUGCGUGAAAGCGUGCGGUCCGCAAGGACCUCUUCCGAGGUGC
rnacentral:rRNA from 1 species